UGCACCAACAUAAUCAAACACGGCACCUUUUGGGUACCACGAUCUCGCCGCGAUUGCUGCUCUCUGCUGGAAUACGCCGCCGAUCUCGCCGGAACCAUGGCGUCCGGCAGAUACAUGGCCUAUUCGCCGUCCCCCUCCACCGCCACGCUCCCCUCACAUCUCCGGUAUGCCCUCGGCUGAUAGACCCCUCGUCGAGCAGGAGAAGAUAGCGUAUCGCUUGCUUAAAUGUUAAGAAUGGGCUGAGGUAGUGGAAAGUUUAGAAGACGUUGGCCAGAACUUUUGUUAGCAUAUAUGUAGUUGUGUAUAAGCUACCUUGCAUCUAAUGAAAUGUGACUGUGAAUCUGAACCUGUGGAUUUUGUGUAAGUUAAAGGAUCCCUCAUGUAUAGGGUUUUGGAAUGUUAAAUUAAAUUCGUGUAAUGAUAUGAACUUAUGGUAAAUCGAUGAUUGUGGUGACUGCAUAGAUUUCCCCACUUGUGGAUUUA